CUACGGGUGGCUGCAGUGGGGAAUAAUGGACAAUUGGGGAAACCCUGAUGCAGCGACGCCGCGUGAGCGAUGAAGUAUUUCGGGAUGUAAAGCUCUAUCAGCAGGGAAGACAAUGACGGUACCGGACUACGAAGCCCCGGCUAACUACGUGCCAGCAGCCGCGGUAAUACGUAGGGGGCAAGCGUUAUCCGGAUUGACUGGGGUUAAAGGGAGCGUAGACGGUCCUUGAAGCCAGAUGUGAAAGUCCGGGGCUCAACCCCGGGACUGCAUUUGAAACUGUAAGGCUAGAGUGUCGUAGAGGCAGGCGGAAUUCCUAGUGUAGCGGUGAAAUGCGUAGAUAUUAGGAGGAACACCAGUGGCGAAGGCAGCCUGCUGGACUAUGACUGACGUUGAGGCUCGAAAGCGUGGGGAGCAAACAGGAUUAGAUACCCCUGUAGUC
rnacentral:rRNA from 1 species